rnacentral:rRNA from 1 species
GUGCUAAUACCGGAUAAGCCCUUACGGGGAAAGGUUUAUCGCCGAAAGAUCGGCCCGCGUCUGAUUAGCUAGUUGGUGAGGUAACGGCUCACCAAGGCGACGAUCAGUAGCUGGUCUGAGGGGAUGAUCAGCCACAUUGGGACUGAGACACGGCCCAAACUCCUACGGGAGGCAGCAGUGGGGAAUAUUGGACAAUGGGCGCAAGCCUGAUCCAGCCAUGCCGCGUGAGUGAUGAAGGCCCUAGGGUUGUAAAGCUCUUUUGUGCGGGAAGAUAAUGACGGUACCGCAAGAAUAAGCCCCGGCUAACUUCGUGCCAGCAGCUGCGGUAAUACGAAGGGGGCUAGCGUUGCUCGGAAUCACUGGGCGUAAAGGGUGCGUAGGCGGGUCUUUAAGUCAGGGGUGAAAUCCUUGAGCUCAACUCCAGAACUGCCUUUGAUACUGAAGAUCUUGAGUUCGGGAGAGGUGAGUGGAACUGCGAGUGUAGAGGUGAGAUUCGUAGAUAUUC